AUGCUGCAGUGCGUCUUCCUCCUCUCCGAUUCCGGGGAGGUGAUGGUGGAGAAGCAGAUGACGGCGCACCGCGUGGACCGCGCCAUCUGCGGCUGGUUCUGGGAGUACGUUCUCGCCCACGCCGCCGGCGACCCGUCCAAGGUCUUGCAGGUUGUGGUGUCCCCAACACACUACUUGUUUCAAGUAUAUCGCAGUGGGGUGACGUUCUUGGCGUGCACCCAAGUGGAGAUGCCCCCCUUGAUGGCUAUCGAGUUUCUCUCUCGCGUGGCUGAUGUCUUGACAGAUUACCUUGGAGAUAUAAAUGAAGACACAAUCAAAGACAACUUCGUAAUUGUUUAUCAGAUUCUAGAUGAAAUGAUGGACAAUGGCUUUCCACUAACUACUGAGCCAAACAUCUUGAAAGAGUUGGUUGCCCAACCAAAUAUGGUCAGCAAAAUGUUGAAUGUUAUGACUGGUAAGAGUUCUACUAUCGGUAGCAAACUUCCAGAUGCAACUGCUUCUUUUGUACCUUGGAGAACAACAAUUGUCAAGGAUGCAAGCAAUGAAGUCUAUGUUAACAUAGUUGAGGAACUAGAUGCAUGUGUGAACAGGGAAGGGGUUCUAGUGAAAUGUGAGGCAUGUGGUGAAAUUGAAGUGAAUUCAAGUCUUCCAGGGUUACCAGAGUUGACAUUGUCAUUUGCAAAUCCUACAAUUAUCAAUGAUGUGAGGUUCCACCCUUGUGUCCGAUUUAGACCCUGGGAAGCCAAUCAGAUCCUAUCAUUUGUUCCUCCUGAUGGGCAGUUCAAGCUUAUGAGUUAUAGGGUUAAGAAAUUGAAGACCACACCAAUUUACGUGAAACCACAAUUAUCAUCUGAUUCUGGGAAUUGCCGUGUUCAUGUGAUGGUGGGGAUUCGGAAUGAUCCUGGGAAACCUAUUGAUUCUAUAAUAGUGCAGUUUCAGUUGCCUCCCCUUAUUGCUUCUGCUGAUUUGACGGCAAACCACGGCACAGUCGACAUCCUUGCUGAUCAGACCUGUGUGUGGACAAUUGGGCAUAUUCCGAAAGACAAAGCACCAUCCCUCUCUGGAAAUCUACGUCUUGAGGAAGGACUCGCUCAUCUGCAUGCAUUUCCAAUAUUUCAGGUGAAAUUCAGGAUUAUGGGGGCUGCGCUGUCUGGGCUUCAAAUUGAUAAACUGGACGUGAAAAAUACACCAAGCGCACCAUACAAAGGUUUUCGAGCCCAAACUCAGGCUGGAAGGUAUGAGGUCAGGUCCUAG
rnacentral:rRNA from 1 species